CCUACGGGAGGCUGCAGUAGGGAAUCUUCCACAAUGGACGAAAGUCUGACGGAGCAACGCCGCGUGAGCGAAGAAGGUCUUCGGAUCGUAAAGCUCUGUUGUUAGGGAAGAACAAGUACGGGAGGAAAUGACCGUACCUUGACGGUACCUAACGAGGAAGCCACGGCUAACUACGUGCCAGCAGCCGCGGUAAUACGUAGGUGGCAAGCGUUGUCCGGAAUUUUUGGGCGUAAAGCGCGCGCAGGCGGUCUUUUAAGUCUGAUGUGAAAUCUUGCGGCUCAACCGCAAGCGGUCCAUGGAAACUGGGGGGCUUGGGGGCAGAAGAGGAAAGGGGAAUUCCAAGCGUAGGGGUGAAAUGGGUAGAGAUGUUGAGGAACACCAGGGGGGAAGGCGGCUUUCUGGUCUGUAACUGACGCUGGGGCGCGAAAGCGUGGGGAGCAAACAGGAUUAGAUACCCUUGUAGUC
rnacentral:rRNA from 1 species